rnacentral:rRNA from 1 species
AGAGUUUGAUCCUGGCUCAGGACGAACGCUGGCGGCGCGCCUAACACAUGCAAGUCGAACGAGCGAGAGAGAGCUUGCUUUCUCAAGCGAGUGGCGAACGGGUGAGUAACGCGUGAGGAACCUGCCUCAAAGAGGGGGACAACAGUUGGAAACGACUGCUAAUACCGCAUAAGCCCACAGCUCGGCAUCGAGCAGAGGGAAAAGGAGCAAUCCGCUUUGAGAUGGCCUCGCGUCCGAUUAGCUAGUUGGUGAGGUAAUGGCCCACCAAGGCGACGAUCGGUAGCCGGACUGAGAGGUUGAACGGCCACAUUGGGACUGAGACACGGCCCAGACUCCUACGGGAGGCAGCAGUGGGGAAUAUUGCACAAUGGGGGAAACCCUGAUGCAGCGACGCCGCGUGGAGGAAGAAGGUCUUCGGAUUGUAAACUCCUGUUGUUGAGGAAGAUAAUGACGGUACUCAACAAGGAAGUGACGGCUAACUACGUGCCAGCAGCCGCGGUAAAACGUAGGUCACAAGCGUUGUCCGGAAUUACUGGGUGUAAAGGGAGCGCAGGCGGGAAGACAAGUUGGAAGUGAAAUCUAUGGGCUCAACCCAUAAACUGCUUUCAAAACUGUUUUUCUUGAGUAGUGCAGAGGUAGGCGGAAUUCCCGGUGUAGCGGUGGAAUGCGUAGAUAUCGGGAGGAACACCAGUGGCGAAGGCGGCCUACUGGGCACCAACUGACGCUGAGGCUCGAAAGUGUGGGUAGCAAACAGGAUUAGAUACCCUGGUAGUCCACACCGUAAACGAUGAUUACUAGGUGUUGGAGGAUUGACCCCUUCAGUGCCGCAGUUAACACAAUAAGUAAUCCACCUGGGGAGUACGACCGCAAGGUUGAAACUCAAAGGAAUUGACGGGGGCCCGCACAAGCAGUGGAGUAUGUGGUUUAAUUCGACGCAACGCGAAGAACCUUACCAAGUCUUGACAUCCUGCGACGGACAUAGAAAUAUGUCUUUCCUUCGGGACGCAGAGACAGGUGGUGCAUGGUUGUCGUCAGCUCGUGUCGUGAGAUGUUGGGUUAAGUCCCGCAACGAGCGCAACCCUUACUGUCAGUUACUACGCAAGAGGACUCUGGCAGGACUGCCGUUGACAAAACGGAGGAAGGUGGGGAUGACGUCAAAUCAUCAUGCCCUUUAUGACUUGGGCUACACACGUACUACAAUGGCGUUAAACAAAGAGAAGCAAGACCGCGAGGUGGAGCAAAACUCAGAAACAACGUCCCAGUUCGGACUGCAGGCUGCAACUCGCCUGCACGAAGUCGGAAUUGCUAGUAAUCGUGGAUCAGCAUGCCACGGUGAAUACGUUCNCCGGGCCCUUGUACACACCGCCCGU